rnacentral:lncRNA from 1 species
UAGGGGCAGUUUGAUCCUGCGUCAGAGUUCCAAAGGGAAAGCUAGAACUGGGGAACGAAGCAGCAAGGUGACCUGAAAGCUCAGAAUUGACGCAGGAGUCCCUCCAGGGGAAGGCGUAGAAUUGGAGAAACCCUGGGCAACGUGAUGGAAGCAACCACUUAACAACGGCUCAAGGGAAGAAAGAAAAAGUGAAAACCAAGAAUAAGGAAGGAGCAACUGAAUAGCUAGAGCAUAAAGGCCUAUGAAUUGAAGAGAUUGGCACAAAGCUGGAGAAACGGAGGGACUGCCAGAGAAUGAUGCGGGGACAGAAGGGUAACCACAGAAGAGGCUGAAGACUGGGGAGCAGGUGUAGUUGUCUGAAUGGGUAUGAAGGCUGAGCGCUAAACAAAAACAAUCAGACAGUAAAAGCAGAGUUAAAGGAAAGUCAGCACUGUUGGCAGCUUGCUGCUGGGAGCGCCAAAGAUACUGGAGGCAUGGGGAAGGCAAGAUGCGGAGGUGAAAUUCUAAC